GAUGAACGCUAGCUACAGGCUUAACACAUGCAAGUCGAACGAGAAAGGAAGAGCUUGCUCUUCUAAUCGAGUGGCGAACGGGUGAGUAACGCGUGAGGAACCUGCCUCAAAGAGGGGGGACAACAGUUGGAAACGACUGCUAAUACCGCAUAAUGUACAUUGAUGGCAUCUUCGAUGUACCAAAGCUUUUGCGCUGAAGGAUGGGCUCGCGUCUGAUUAGAUAGUUGGUGGGGUAAUGGCCUACCAAGUCGACGAUCAGUAGCCGGACUGAGAGGUUGAACGGCCACAUCGGGACUGAGACACGGCCCAGACUCCUACGGGAGGCAGCAGUGGGGAAUAUUGGGCAAUGGGCGCAAGCCUGACCCAGCAACGCCGCGUGAAGGAAGAAGGCUUUCGGGUUGUAAACUUCUUUUAAGAGGGAAGAGCAGAAGACUGUACCUCUAGAAUAAGCCACGGCUAACUACGUG
rnacentral:rRNA from 1 species